GGAUGCAGAGAAGGAUGCAGGGAGCCAGGAGGGCUGCAGGGAUACAGCGAGGAUGCAACGGGACAUCUCUGCCCCAAGGCGGAGCUUCCCAGAGGGUUCCCCCCAUCACUGUAGCAGGAUGCAGAAGCACCAGGACAAGACAAGCCAGGGGUGGCAGGAGACAGGGAUAGAGGCUCACUGGGUCUACAGCUGAGCCCACAACCCAGGGGGAAAGAGAGCGCGCGCAAGAGAGGAAAAUACUGCAGUGUCCCUACAGAGUUUGUUCCAGUUUGCUCCCUCCGUGGCGGGACACAGACACUGUAAAAGAGGAAGACUGGAAAUGA